CGGUUCGGUUCGGGCCGGGCCAGAGCCGCGGGGCUCCCGGCCUGCCCAUAGCGCCUCCGGUAAAAGUGACCGGCUGGCCUGGCUUCUAUCGCCUGAGCGUUUGCUGCUGCUGGAAGGAAACUAGUCCAGAGCAUAUGCCACCAGGAGUCUGGCUGUCAGCACCCUUGGAGUCAGGGAGGCACAGCAGAGCUGAGCACUGCCAGUUUGUGCCUAGCCACAAACACAACCCUCCCUCUCCAGAGAGAAGAAAAGAGAGAGGAAAAGCAUAAGGUACUUCCAGAAUUUAUUUAAUACAAACUAAAAGUUUGGCCAGAAGAGAAUACCAUGGAAAAUAAGUUAAAUUUAUGGAAAACAAAAUUACUCUGGAAGGCAGGUAGAUUAAGCAAGACUUAAAGAGCAAUUAAUCAAAGACACAAGGCAAACAAGGUGUUUUUUCAUGAACCAGCAGCAGAAAGCCUGCAGGAUUCAUCAGUCUUCUUCCUCAGCACUGAGACACAACGUGUUCCACAGUUCCCAGAUGUUGGUUGUGUAAAGGAAGGGUUAAUAGCAGUUGGUAUUAAAGUCAGUGACUCAUUAUCCAACCUGAACAGAAGAGGAGUGGCUCCCUCAAAGGAAGGAACUGAGCAGUCAUUAGGAAGAACUAACGAAUAACCAUGUCAGAGCAAGAACAGAGAUGAAUGUUAUCAGUUUGGUCUUGGUUCCUCUGUUAACAAAAGUCAGUCCCACAGCAAGAGGGACACGGACACAGGCUGUGGAACAGACUAGCCACUGUGACCUGAAAGCUACAUCUGCCUGGGAGGAGUAGAGACAUACUUUAUCCAUGGGAAACACUUGUUUGAUGUGAUUUCUCUUAAUAUUUCUCCUUUUUCCUCAAUCUGGUGCAUCUUGCUGUAGAGCUGCUGCCCCAGAACUUCCCUGUUCUUGCUGCUGUAGAAGAUCUCCCAGCCUUCAACUCACUGCCAGGACUGCAAGUGGCAGAAAACACCUGCCUCAGUGCCAGCCUGCUCCUACAAACCCCACAGCUUGCACAGAGUAGCCGAGCUGAGCUGAUGCCAGGAACGUGAAGGUCUUGUAAGAGGUGACAUUUAAAGUUGUGUAUUCCCAGCUUUUGUAAUUACAGGUUCCCACAUCAGGAGGAUGCAUGGAAAAAGCACACAGAUAAGGCAUCGUUUGCCCAAACAUGUCAUCAGAAACUGACUUCCUAAAGCUCUUUUUCAGUAGGGGACUUUCAAGGCCUGGUCAGCCUGUCACUGGUACUACUGAAGACAGCAAGAAUCUCGCUGCAGAUUUCAGGGAGAGCAAGAGCAGACCCUGGGAGUGAAGAAACAUCAUUUGCAUUCACUUUGGCAGAUGGCUGUGUUCUAGGAGAACCUACAAACAGUUCUUGAGGCUCCAGGGUAGACUGAGAAGGGAGUAAAAUGAGUGGAAGAAAACAAGAAAUAGACACGUGAUGCAAGUUCAUAUAUACAAUGAAUGGACUUGGGACAAAUGCUUGAAGACUUCUUACAACAAAUUGCUCACAAAUGCAAGAGUUACUUCCAGAAUGGUUACUGCACAUGUGUUUGGAAAAAAUAUAUUGGAACAAAUCAAUCUGCUUGUGGACAAAUAAUGAAAAGAGAAAAAGGAAAAAUUCCUCUAACAAACAUGAAACUGCAAAUUAUUCACUCAGCUCAGUUGGCAACAACCAAUUUUUGUGGUAGUAGGAGCUCAUGGAGUAGGAGGUAACUGUGUGAAGAAUGAUUGAUUUGGGAUCUUAUAUUGCAGUUCUGGAAGGGCUUCAAUUUCUAAUUUAAAAGCCAUCUUCCUCCUUUUACCCAGUAAAUAAAACACAAUGAUAGUUGAUUUCUGUGAGCUGUUUUGGGCAGAUAGGAUCUAUUUUCUGUCCUCUGGACACUGAAAACAGCUAGCUCAUAAGAAAGAGGAGUUAUUUAUUAGAAAAGAUCUCUCUUGCUGUGUUGGGUUGCAAUGCAAGAUGUAAGCACAAGUCUGUGUUCUAUUGCCAGCUGUUAAAACCAGGUGAGGCAGUGUUCUUUAUCUCUCCCAGCACCCAUCCUCCCUCCAGGG